rnacentral:rRNA from 1 species
UACGUAGGCAGCAAGCGUUUGUUCGGAAUUAUUGGGCGUAAAGCGCGUGUAGGCGGCCUCAUAAGUCCGUUGUGAAAGUCAAAGGCUCAACCUUUGAAAGCCGAUGGAUACUGUGAGGCUAGAGUCCGGAAGAGGCGAGUGGAAUUCCUGGUGUAGCGGUGGAAUGCGCAGAUAUCAGGAGGAACACCAAUAGCGAAGGCAGCUCGCUGGGACGGUACUGACGCUAAGGCGCGAAAGCGUGGGGAGCGAACAGG